rnacentral:rRNA from 1 species
CAGAGGGGGCAAGCGUUGUUCGGAAUUACUGGGCGUAAAGGGCGCGUAGGCGGCCUGCUAAGUCGAACGUGAAAUCCCUGGGCUCAACCCAGGAACUGCGUCCGAUACUGGUUGGCUUGAAUCCGGGAGAGGGAUGUGGAAUUCCAGGUGUAGCGGUGAAAUGCGUAGAUAUCUGGAGGAACACCGGUGGCGAAGGCGACAUCCUGGACCGGCAUUGACGCUGAGGCGCGAAAGCCAGGGGAGCAAACGGGAUUAGAUACCCCGGUAGUCCUGGCCCUAAACGAUGAAUGCUUGGUGUGGUGGGUAUCGAUCCCUACCGUGCCGAAGCUAACGCAUUAAGCAUUCCGCCUGGGGAGUACGGUCGACAAGGCUAG